rnacentral:rRNA from 1 species
UGAGGAAUAUUGGUCAAUGGGCGAGAGCCUGAACCAGCCAAGUAGCGUGCGGGAUGAAGGCCCUUGUGGUCGUAAACCGCUUUUAUCAGUGAAUAAAGUGCACCACGUGUGGUGUCAUUGCAGGUAGCUGAAGAAAAAGGACCGGCUAAUUCCGUGCCAGCAGCCGCGGUAAUACGGAAGGUCCGGGCGUUAUCCGGAAUUAUUGGGUUUAAAGGGAGCGCAGGCGGGAGUGUAAGUCAGCUGUUAAAUAUCAGGGCCCAACUCUGUUAUGCAGUUGAAACUAUAUUUCUUGAGUACGCACAGGGAUGGCGGAAUUCAGGGUGUAGCGGUGAAAUGCUUAGAUAUCCUGAAGAACUCCGAUCGCGAAGGCAGCCAUCCGGAGCGUAACUGACGCUGAGGCUCGAAGGUGCGGGUAUCGAACAGGAUUAGAUACCCUGGUAGUCUGCACGGUAAACGAUGAAUACUCGCAGUUCGGCCGUUUAGGUCGAGUUGUCCAGCGAAAGCGUUAAGUAUUCCACCUGGGGAGUACGCCGGCAACGGUG